AUGUCGUUUGUGCUGGCUUCGCUACUGUAUGAAUUCGAGUGGUGGCUCCCGGUUGGCAUGGCGGCCGACAAGCUGGACGUCACCGAGAAGUUCACCAUCGUCAACAUGCUCGCCGUGCGCCUUAGGGUCGUCCCCGUCUUGGUCACCUAG
rnacentral:rRNA from 1 species